UCUGUAUCCUGUCGGCGCCUUCGAGAAAAUUGCCUGGCAAGCGGAGCUUAGCUGUCGGGCUGAUCGCAUUUGGAGCUGACACCCAGCCAGCCAGACGGCACCCACAUCGCAAGUCGUCUGCAUUUCCCUGGCUGACUUUUCCGCUUCGAAGUGCCCUGGAAAUUGUAUUGACAGUCGUCUCUGGCUUUUCCCUGUACAGUGCAGAGUAUGCGUGUGCUCCUUCGGGCGAAAUGGAUGGGGUCGGCAUACGAAUUUGUUAAUAAUCUGGCAUUCCUCACAUGGCAUGCAGACACAUCUAAGCGGCUUUGUGUCGGGCUCUCGAGAUGAGCUAUGAAUGCAAUUAGUCCCACAUGUCCGGGCACUUCAAAGAAUUUAAAUGGAAAUCAACUUUUUUCCGAGUGCCUCGCACAUAUUUUCGGAUGCCCUCUGCUGACGAAAGGCCAUCUUUUCCUUCCAAUUUCAAACUGAUAUGUGACCCUCUUAUUAAAGAAAUUAUUAGCACUA